rnacentral:rRNA from 1 species
AGCAGCCGCCGCGGUAAUACGAAGGGUGCAAGCGUUACUCGGAAUUACUGGGCGUAAAGCGUGCGUAGGUGGUGGUUUAAGUCCGUUGUGAAAGCCCUGGGCUCAACCUGGGAAUUGCAGUGGAUACUGGGUCACUAGAGUGUGGUAGAGGAUAGUGGAAUUUCCGGUGUAGCAGUGAAAUGCGUAGAGAUCGGAAGGAACAUCUGUGGCGAAGGCGACUAUCUGGGCCAACACUGACACUGAGGCACGAAAGCGUGGGGAGCAAACAGGAUUAGAUACCCCGGUAGUCCCUGUCUCUUAUAC